rnacentral:lncRNA from 1 species
UCAUCAGCCCAUGCCGAGGCAGCGUCCCACACAGCACAGCCAGAAGGACCUACAACUAUGUACUGGGCAGCUUUGGGGAAAAGAAGAAGGAAAAAAAAAUGAAGAUUGACAACAGAUGUUAGCUCAGCUGCCAAUCUUUAAAAAAAAUUAAAAACAUGGCCUGUUCCUUUGUGUCUUGAUUUCACAUUGCUGCUCUGCUGCAGUGUUCCUAUGUGGCCACGACUGUCACCGAUGAGAGUCCCUACAUCACUCUCACCCUGCAGUCCUUGGUCCAGGCAAGGAAACUCUAAAUCAACUUUCUACCGUUGCUCGUGGGCAGACAGUGAUGCAGAAUGAAGCAGGUCCGACAGAUCUCCCAUGGAGUCCACUUCCCCGUCCGCAGCCCCGGGCUUGCCCCGUUCCCAGGCCCACAGAAAGGAGAGGUAGAUGGCUGCUGCGUUUCUGGCAGUGUUCUCAGACAGAAGGGGCCUCUCUGAUGGGCACCGGCAGCUGCGAGGCACCUGGGGAGACUCAAGAGACCGGUCUCUGACAAGGCCUGUCUGAUGGCAGACGUGGACAAAGAUGGAUACAGGAUGAAGGGCCUGGAGCCCCAGAGCCAGGGCUGUGCCACAGGGCAGGGGCCCACAGAGCAGACGGUCCACCCAGAGCACUCAGAAGCCAGGAGGCAGGAGGUUAGGGAGCUGACUGUAAGCGAGCUGCAGGAAUGGGGAAGGCAGGGCUGACAACCUGGGAUGGAACUGCCUGAGGCUUCCAGGAAAGUCACUUGUGUGGAGAACUCCUGAGGCAAGAGAGCCCUGAAGCCAGGUCAAAGAUUGCCUCCAACAAGGGACCGUUACACCCACCCUGUUACAGGAGCGCCCAGCAGCUGACCUCUCGGGGCAGAGAAGCCUGGGCCUAUAACAAAGGUUGUUACAGCCCUCCCUGGGAGGUCCUGACCAGCCCCACCUGGGCUCCAUGACUUCACCCUUCCUCAGGAUGCUCAGGGCUCAGAAGCAGAGAGGUCAGGUGAGCUGAGGUUUGGAGAGAUCCCCCGGGGACUUGUGAAUCACAUGGUGGCCUUUGAGAUGCUUGCCAUCUGGGGAAUCAGCCACAUAAAUUCCCCAAGUGGACACUCUGUUCUGUA